GAAGAGAUAAGACUUAUACAACAGUUGG
rnacentral:sRNA from 1 species